CCAGGUUGAUUCUGCCUGACGUAGACGCUAUUCCCUAAGAUUAACCCAUGCAUGUUAUUGAUUUUUGAAAAAUGGACUGCUCAGUAAUACUCACUUUAUUUUAUGUAUACUUAUUAUAACUACGUUAAAGUGUAGAUAAAAUGUAUACAGUAAGAGUGAGACCUAUCAGCUAGUUGUUAAGGUAAUGGCUUAACAAGGCAGUGACGGGUAACGGUAUUACUUUGUAAUAUUCCGGAGAAGGAGCCUGAGAGACGGCUACUAAGUCUAAGGAUUGCAGCAGGGGCGAAACUUGACCUAUGGAUUUUAUCUGAGACAGUUAUGGGAAGUAAUAUUAUAUUGUUUCAUAUUUUAAAAGUAUAUGAGGUGAUUAAUUGGAGGGCAAAUCAAGUGCCAGCAGCCGCGGUAAUACUUGUUCCAAGAGUGUGUAUGAUGAUUGAUGCAGUUAAAAAGUCCGUAGUUUAUUUUUAAGAAGCAAUAUGAGGUGUACUGUAUAGUUGGGAGAGAGAUGAAAUGUGACGACCCUGACUGGACGAACA
rnacentral:rRNA from 1 species